GGAAAACUUACCAGGACAAGACAUAAGAAGGAUUGACAGAUUGAUCGCUCUUUCUUGAUUUUAUGGGUGGUGGUGCAUGGCCGUUCUUAGUUCGUGGAGUAAUUUGUCUGGUUAAUUCCGUUAACGAACGAGACCUCAACUAACUAAUUGGUGAAGGUAACUUGAAUGCUUUCCGUGUUAGAAGGACCAUGUGUGUUUAACACAAGGAAGCGUGAGGCAAUAA
rnacentral:rRNA from 1 species